UACAGAGGGUGCAAGCGUUGUUCGGAAUUAUUGGGCGUAAAGCGCGUGUAGGCGGCUUUGCAAGUCGGAUGUGAAAGCCCACGGCUCAACCGUGGAAGUGCAUCCGAAACUGCAUGGCUGGAGUCUCGGAGAGGAAGGUGGAAUGCUUGGUGUAGAGGUGAAAUUCGUAGAUAUCAAGCAGAACACCUGCGGCGAAGGCGGCCUUCUGGACGAUGACUGACGCUGAGACGCGAAAGCGUGGGGAGCAAACAGG
rnacentral:rRNA from 1 species